GGAUGUGAGGGACAUUUGGCUGCAACAUCUGUCACCCCAUCAAUUGCCAGGGUUCAUUUGACUGAUCUGGCUUGGCUGGGCAGGGACUCCUGUCCUCCCUCACCACUCUAGUUAUAUCCCUCCCAAAGCUGAGUUCUGGGUUGAAGAGACAACCUUUCCCAAUAGAGGUGGAUUUUUUGGUUGAGGGUAUACCAGUAGCUGAGCCUCCCAAACAAGCUUUCAAGGUCCAUUAGUAGGAGAACGUAGAGUAGUCAAGCUUUCAAGACUCCAGAUACAUCCAAAUAAGGUACUGCAUGUGGCAGUCUGCCUUUCUUA
rnacentral:snRNA from 1 species